rnacentral:rRNA from 1 species
GGAUCCCAUCCAGGAAGGNGCAGGCGCGUAAAUUACCCAAUCCUGAUACGGGGAGGUAGUGACAAUAAAUAACAAUACGGGGCCCAUCGGGUCUUGUAAUUGGAAUGAGUACAAUAUAAAUCCCUUAACGAGGAUCAAUUGGAGGGCAAGUCUGGUGCCAGCAGCCGCGGUAAUUCCAGCUCCAAUAGCGUAUAUUAAAGUUGUUGCAGUUAAAAAGCUCGUAGUUGGAUUUCUGGUAGGAGUGACCGUGCCGAACUUGAUUGUUCGUGUAUUGUGUCGUCUCCAGCCAUCCUCGUGGAGAACUUUUCUAGCAUUAAUUUGUUGGGAUUGGGACCCGCGUCGUUUACUGUGAAAAAAUUAGAGUGUUUAAAGCAGGCAUUGGCUUGAAUACAUUAGCAUGGAAUAAUAAGAUAGGACUUUGGUACUAUUUUGUUGGUUUGCAUACCAAAUUAAUGAUCAACAGGAACAGUUUGAGGAUAUUCGUAUGAACAUGUCAGGAGGUGAAAUUCUUGGAUUUUGAUCAGACGAACUACUGCGAAAGCAUUUAUCAAGGAUGUUUUCAUUAAUCAAGAACGAAAGUUAGGGGAUCGAAGAUGAUUAGAUACCAUCGG